CUCAACUCGGUAUUUCGUUCCCUAUUUUGAUGAUUUUCUACGGUAAGCUAUUCCUUUUGCAUCUCCUUUGAUCUCUAGAAUAGCAGCAGUUAAAUAUGAUGUAUGUUAGUACGGCAUGCGCACGUCUUUCUUUCUUUGCUUCCAAUGUCUCCAGGGAAAAGAUAAGAAAGCAAAGCUAACUUGGAUGUAUAAUGUCGAGAUCGUAGCCGCCGCACGUGACCGUCGAGAAAGCCAAGAAAAGAUGGCCUCUUCCGAGGUGAGAUGAACCCCUGACCUCUUCCCUCCCAUCAUAACCCCUAAGCCAUCGAGAUUCUCACACCGGGCAAGGCAGCCAUGGCCCUCGGACCCCACAUCCUCGAAGAUCCCAACCCUCUAAGAACAUUACGGAAUUCCUCUUUCCUGGUCCCACCACCUCCUCCUCCUCCUCCUAUUCUUUGGGCAGCGAUGGCCCUGGGAACUCGCAUCGUCGAAGAUCCCAACCCUCCAAGAACUCAAAAGAUUUCAAGAUAUACUACCAAGGCUGGUGCCCACGAAUUAGGUUUUGAAUCGCCUAAGUGAAGGGUUCAAAAAGCUUCUCUAUGGCCACGUCUCGUAAUGCACGUGCAAAGCCUUCUGUGCAAACUGGUCUGAAUGGUGGCGAGGUGAUUUUACUGACGGCUGUGCUUAAAGAGAGACUUUUUGGAAAAUACAAUAAUACCGUUAGGAUUGGAAGGAAAGCUUUGGCUGAUGUCAGCAACAUGAACAGUGAGAGGAUCCAUUAAUUGAGAAGAAGAAGAAAUUAGAGGGCAGUAAUGCAUCACAAGGCAAAAUCAAUACUAGACAAAUAUCUUUAUGGGCCAAGAAAUGAUGGGAAAACUCAAUCUCUCUGGUGAGCCAUCAUGCACACAUAGCUUAGCUGCUUGUUCCGUUGAAUCUGGCAAAGCUACGCUGUGCUGUAAACUACUGGAUUGAAAGUACAACCGGUUCUCUGCUUCGUAUGUUGUCUUGAUUAGCUACCAGGCACAUCAUAUGUAUUACUGAACAUCUUGCUAUCUUUUAUUAGUAUAGAUUGUUUUCUUUUCUUGGUACUUUUCAUCAGGAAUGAGGGUGUACAGCUUCUUCAGCCAAGGUUUGAGGCUCUUGCUUAGCUCUAAAUUUCUGCAUUUCCUAUUCAACUAUGUACUAUCAUAAUCCUUCCGGCGUUUUGGUUGAUGUGGAUAAUAUUUGCCACAAGGCUUAAUUAGCAACUCAGAAGGUCAAGGACGGAUAUAACUCAUCAAGAAAGCGUUUAGGGACAAUCCUCGAAGCUCAAGCGAUUUCGGUGGUCAAGCAUGCAGCCAUUAUACAGAAGUCUACUAGUAGUGACCCAUCUGUGAACAACGAAGUUGAAAUGCAUACGAGGUCUCAUUCUGGUGAUAAUGCAUCAGAUAUUCCAUGGGGAUGGGGUCAAGAAAAGUUCGAUGUGUUGUUCUAGUGAAGUUUUGUCUGCAACCAUGUCUAGACCUAAGUGUACUCGUCGAAAUCUUAUACAUCAUUGCUAGUGAAAAAAAUCUGAGAUUAUGGAAGAAGCUGCCAGCUUUGUCAACAAGCAUGAGCUGCCGUAUAUUGACGAGAACAAUAACCCCCUCGAUGUAGGAGAACAUGGAUGAUAUCCAUCAAUAUUAUUCGUCUUUGGAGAAAUCUCUUUGAAGAUCCAUCCAUUUGAAGAAGAGAUCAUUUCAUUAUUGGAGCACCCUCCUAUUUUAUUUGAUGAUUUUCUACAGUAAGCUAUUCCCCUUGCAUCUCCUUUGGUCCUUUAGAAUAGUAGCAGCCAAAUAUGGUGUAUAUAGCAUGGCAUGCACAUGUCUUUCUUUGCUCCCAGUGAGUGCACGAGAACUAUAAAAAGGUGAAGGCAGAGCUAACUUGCAUGUAUCAAUGCCGAGACUAUAGCCCCACAAGUGUGAUGCUAGAACAAACAAGAUAUCAGACUGGUAGCCGCACGAUGAUGCUCCCAAAAUAAAUCAUAACCAAAUCGAGUGCAUCUUUGGUUCAGAUCGAACUGCAAGCAAGCUAAAACCGAUGACGGUGUCAUGCUUGAGGUUCAGAACUGGUUACGUAAAUUUGACAUAAUCAAAAGGAUAUUUUAGUCCUGCAAUCGUUCCACUAUAAAAGGUGCCUUGGGUCCAGUGAGAGGUGGUUUGAAUAAAGGUUCAAUUCCAACGGUCCAGAAGCAAGAAAAGGUGGCCUCUUCCAAGGUGAGAUGAACCCCUACCCUCUUUCCUCCCAUCAAACCCCCUAAACAUCGAGAGUCUCACACCUUGUGUGAUCUAGGGCAAGGCAACCAUGGCCUUUAGAACCCACGUCUUCGAAGAUCCCAACCCUCCAAGAAUAUUAUAGAAUUCUUUUCUCGUCCCUCCUCCUCCUUCUCCUAUUCUUUGGGCAGUCAUGGCCCUCGGAACUGCGUCAUCAAAGAUCCCAAUCCUCUAAGAGCAGAAAGGAAUUCUUCGCUCCUCUUCCUCCUUCGGCUUUUUUUUGUUCUUUUUUGUUGUCUCUCCUCAAUCUUUAUAAGUUUUUGG